rnacentral:rRNA from 1 species
GAUGAACGCUGGCGGCGUGCUUAACACAUGCAAGUCGAACGAUGAAGCCCAGCUUGCUGGGUGGUUUAGUGGCGAACGGGUGAGUAACACGUGCGUAACCUGCCCUUCACUCUGGGAUAAGCCAGGGAAACUGGGUCUAAUACCGGAUAGGAGCGUCCACCGCCUGGAGGGUGCUGGAAUGAUUUAUCGGUUUUAGGUGGCCUCGCGGCCUAUCCGCUUGUUGGUGAGGUAAUGGCACACCAAGGCGAUGCCGGGUAGCCGGCCUGAGAGGGUGAACGGCCACACUGGGACUGAGACACGGCGCAGACUCCUACGGGAGGCAGCGGGGGAGAAUAUUGCACAAUGGGCGCAAGCCUGAUGCAGCGACGCCGCGUGAGGGAUGACGGCCUUCGGGUUGUAAACCUCUGUCAGUAGAGAAGAAGCGAAAGUGACGGUACCUGCAGAAGAAGCACCGGCUAACUACGUG